rnacentral:tRNA from 1 species
UAUAUUUUGUUGUAUGAUGCAUAUGGGUUUUUGAUUCCUUUAGUAAUAGUUUAAUUCUAUUAAAUAUAA